rnacentral:tRNA from 1 species
GCCGAAAUAGCUCAGUUGGGAGAGCGUUAGACUGAAGAUCUAAAGGUCCCUUGUCCGAUCCCGGUUUUCGGCA